GAAGCGGUAACAGCUCAAAUUUGAAAUCUGGCUCUUGCGGAGUCCGAGUUGUAAUUUGUAGAAGAUGCUUUGGGUUGUGGGUUCGGCCUAAGUUCCUUGGAACAGGACGUCAUAGAGGGUGAGAAUCCCGUAUGUGGCCGAGGCCCGCGCCUAUGUAAAGCUCUUUCAACGAGUCGAGUUGUUUGGGAAUGCAGCUCAAAAUGGGUGGUAAAUUUCAUCUAAAGCUAAAUAUGGGCCAGAGACCGAUAGCGCACAAGUAGAGUGAUCGAAAGAUGAAAAGCACUUUGGAAAGAGAGUUAAACAGUACGUGAAAUUGUUGAAAGGGAAGCGCUUGCAACCAGACUUGGGCGCUGCCGAUCACCUUGAGUUUUCUCGAGUGCACUCGACAGCGCACAGGCCAGCAUCGGUUCGGGUGGCUGGAUAAAGGCCGUAGGAAUGUGGCUCUCUUCGGGGAGUGUUAUAGCCUACGGUGCCAUGCAGCCCAGCCGGACCGAGGACCGCGCCUUCGGGCUAGGAUGCUGGCGUAAUGGUUGUAAGCGACCCGUCUUGAAACACGGACCAAGGAGUCUAACAUCUAUGCGAGUGUUUGGGUGGUAAACCCAUACGCGGAAUGAAAGUGAACGUAGGUGAGAACCCCUUUGGGGCGCAUCAUCGACCGAUCCUGAUGUCUUCGGAUGGAUUUGAGUAAGAGCAUAGCUGUUGGGACCCGAAAGAUGGUGAACUAUGCCUGAAUAGGGUGAAGCCAGAGGAAACUCUGGUGGAGGCUCGCAGCGGUUCUGACGUGCAAAUCGAUCGUCAAAUUUGGGCAUAGGGGCGAAAGACUAAUCGAACCAUCUAGUAGCUGGUUCCUGCGA
rnacentral:rRNA from 1 species